rnacentral:lncRNA from 10 species
AAAACACAACACACACACACACACACACACACACACACAAAUGUGGCUGGAGAGAGUGGACGGGCAGGCUCUGCAGCUGUUCAAACUUUCUCGGCCACCUUCCCAGGCCAUGAGGACUCCCCACUCAUGGGCCUGUCGGAACCGUGCUGGGGAAUGUGAGGAGUGAGGGCCCGCUCCAGACGUGCUCCAGGGACCCAGGCUGAUGGAGGAUCGAGUCCCACCCAGACCUCCAUCAUCAUGGAGGCCAGAUGCACGAGCUGGUUCUUAAAACUUCUGCUCACAAGUGACUGAGACCUCUUCCACUCACAUUUCACUGGUCAAUCAAGUCAUGCCACCACACCUGAUUUCAACGGGGAUGAGAAGAACAAUUCUAUUUGCUCAGAAAGCAGAGAUCUGGAAAUUUUCGUAAACAGUCUUUAGUCUUCAACCAUCCAAGCUAGAAGACCUGGUUUCUGGGCCCCUCCUUUGCCACCAACUAACUUCGUGUCCCCCCGGCAGGCCUCCUCCCUUCUCUGGCCUGUAGAUCCCCACCUGCAAAAAGGUGUGGAGCAUGUUCCUCAGGUUUUUCUGGGCCUGAGAACAGCACCACUAUCAUGGCCUCUGCUUUUCCUAAUGGGGGACAAUGAAUUUAUUUCCACUGCUCUUCCACGGAGCAAGGACAGGAUGACAUUCAGGCCAGAGCAUGACUCAGCCUUUGGGGAGUCUCCCAAAUAUCCCAAGUUUUGAACCUCCACAUUCUUUUUUUUUUUUCUGAGAUGGAGUCUCUCUCUGUCACCCAGGCUAGAGUGCAGUGGCGUGAUCUUGGCUUACUGCACCUCCACCUCACAGAUUCAACAAUUCUCCUGUCUCAGCCUCCCUAGUAGCUGGGAUUACAGGUGUGCACCACCACGCUCAGCUAAUUUUUGUAUUUUUAGUAAAGACAGGGUUUCACCAUGUUAGCCAGGCUGGUCUCGAACUCCUGACCUUAGGUGAUCCAACCACCUCGGCCUCCCAAAGUGUUGGGAUUACAGGCGUGAGCCACGCCGCCUGGCCUGAAGCUCCACAUUCAACUGUUACUCUGGGAAUGGUGUGUGGGCACAGCUGCUGCUCCUGCCAGCCAGGCAUGAGUUUCCAAAGCUGGACCCAGGCUUGGUUCUGGUUGGGGCUGGGUGGAACUCCCGGGAGGGGAGGAGAGAAGGGAAGUUGGUUAAUGAUGAGGGAUAAAGUGGGCAGGAGAAAAUGGGCUGAUGGUACAGCUCAUCCAGCUACUUGUCCAGGCCCCGUCAGACCAUCAGAAGGGGGUCGACGAGGGAGUUCCAGUGGCCUUGGAGUCCUGUCCUCCUUGCUGUUCUUGGAAUUGCUUGGAUAUUUCACAGCCUCAGGGCCUUUGCAGGGUCUGUGGCUUCCCUGAGGUGUCCAUGUGCCCCUCUGCCUCACCUCCUUCAAAUCUCAAUCAACUUUCAAGGCCUUCCCCAACCACUCUCUCUAAAACAGCAAUCCCUUCCCUCAGCUCUGGGGCCUCCCUGUGUCCCCACUGCCUGGGAUUGUCUCCACAGCUGUGAUCUCCUUCUAAAUGACUUUGGAGUUUUAUUCAUUUUGACUAUGAGGUUUCCACUCUCCAGAAGCUGAGCUGCGUCAGGACAGGAGCUUUCGCCUAUUUUGUUCUCUGCAUCACCCCUGCACCUGGAUGAGAGCCUGGGCUCUGCCACGGGCCCUGCAGGAAAACGUCUGUUUCCAAGGCGGACGGAGCAUCUGGAAGCUCCGAGCAGCCACGCGCUUAUGCUCAGGCCUCAGCCAAGUGUCACCGGGGCCCUGGGGGCACCAUCUGGCUUUCACUUCCUCGAGGCUCCUGUCCCCUUCACUGAAUAAAUCCUGCAUGUUUAGAGCCUGGGUCACAGCAGAUCCAGCGGGUGUGUUGGGUGCAGCAGGUGUGCAUCCCAGGGGGCGCUGAGGCGAACCUACCAGAACCUUCUCUUCCUGCUGCCCUGGGAGGCUGUGUCUGCCCAAGCCAGCCACCGGGCCGGGUCCACUGCCUGGGGAUGGCUGUCCCCUGAGCUGCUGCUCUGUCCCCACCACGGAGGCUCGUCCAGCUGCCCGGGCAUGAGUCAUGGGCCAGCCCUGGGCGCUGCUGCGGAUUCAGAAGCUCGAGCCGUUUCCUGCAGAUAAGCGACAAGCGCCAGGGAAACCUGGCGGGGGUGGCCGCCCUGUGAGAUAGCGCUUCCUUCAAAGCCCCCCAAGCACUAAUUAGCCAUUCCAAGCAUAGUUUCAACAGCAUUUAGGGAUUUCCUCAUCAAAAUAAACUUCCUCCCAUGUUAUCUUCAUUUUUGGCAUCUGAUGGGAUCCUUUUUUUGUCUUAUUUAUUUAUUUAUUUUCUUUCUCU